rnacentral:rRNA from 1 species
GCCUCCCUCUUUCUUCGUGCUUAACACAUGCAAGUCGAACGGAAAGGCCCUGCUUUUGUGGGGUGCUCGAGUGGCGAACGGGUGAGUAACACGUGAGUAACCUGCCCUUGACUUUGGGAUAACUUCAGGAGACUGGGGCUAAUACCGGAUAGGAGCUCCUGCUGCAUGGUGGGGGUUGGAAAGUUUCGGCGGUUGGGGAUGGACUCGCGGCUUAUCAGCUUGUUGGUGGGGUAGUGGCUUACCAAGGCCUUGACGGGUAGCCGGCCUGAGAGGGUGACCGGCCACAUUGGGACUGAGAUACGGCCCAGACUCCUACGGGAGGCAGCAGUGGGGAAUAUUGCACAAUGGGCGGAAGCCUGAUGCAGCAACGCCGCGUGCGGGAUGACGGCCUUCGGGUUGUAAACCGCUUUCGCCUGUGACGAAGCGUGAGUGACGGUAAUGGGUAAAGAAGCACCGGCUAACUACGUG